GCGAGUUCACUGAAUUCCUUCUACUCAGUCUCCUGCUUCUUCUUCCUUCACCCAUCAACAAUGGUGUUUUUGGGCCAGAACCUGAAUUCCCCUCCAUCUGGUUCCAAACAAUUGAUUCCAGUUCCAGCAGAAAUAUCUAUAAAUAUAGGUAUAUCUUUUGCUGAUAUUUUUGUACAAAGAGGCGGCAUGAAGAUGCUCGCCUUGAUGCUUAAAAACUAGGAUAUGAUGCUAUUAGUAGCUGUUGAUUUUUUUAGCGGUAUAUGCCUUCGCGAGUUUUGACUAUUGCAGAAUACUUUAGGAACAUACCCAGAAUGUCAAUUACUUGUGCAAGAUUUUUUCGCCCUUUUUUUUUUUUUUAGUUUAACGUGGGUGUCCGGACCAGCUUGCGCGUACCUCGAUUAAUCCCACGGGCCCUAAAAUUAACGACCAUGUAAGCCUCCAGUGACCAUCAUAUGAGCAACCACAGGGCUCGAACCUGAGAUCACAGAAUAAGCAAACCUCUUGGUCCAAACUCUUACCACUGGGCCACCAUCUAGAUGGUUUUUUUUUUUCAUUCUUUUUCCUGAUAAGAGGUCAUGGACCCCGAAAACAGUUCAUUUUUAUUUUCAUAUUUACCCUUUAAAGUCCAACAUCAAGUUUUACAUAAAAAAAAAUAUAGAAUAUUAAUUUAAUAUCGGUCCCUGCCCAUGUGAUUUAAAGAGAGAAAAAUAAAAGAACAUGCAACAUAAAAUUCUAUCGAAUUUAGUCACACCACAAACUUUUAAUCAAAGACUAGCUAAAAUAUUUGGCCUAGGAGAAAUUUUGGUAAAGAAUAUUAAUGACAAACCCAAACAAAAGUAGCUAUAAGAAAGUAGGCGUUCAAGUUCCACUACAAAGAUUGUACUUUUAUUGUUUGAGGAAAGUAACAAGAAGAAUGCAUAAAAUGGCACAGUGAAAGUGCUAGAAGAACCAUCAGCCAAAGCAUGUCAACCAAACAUGUAUAACAUCAACUUAACUAUUGUGGAUCAAACUAGCUGUCUGCCCUGUUUAAAACGCUACAAGUACCUCAUUAUACAAAAGUAGGGUUCCCUUGUUGUAUAGUCUUCAUUCAAUUCCUUAACUGGAUAAACUGAUUCACCAUGAAAGGGAAACACUGGAUCCCAGGUUUGUAACCUUUUACGAGACAAAUGAAACCAACGCCAACUCUGACUACGCAUUUGCACAUGAUGUUAUCUAUCUAUAUAUAGACCAAUGCUAACUGUUGGGUAACCUGCUGAGAACAGAGUGCUCUGGUUUGUGCUCACAUUCAAAAUCAAGAUGAACGAAUGCCCGCUCAACUUCUGGGAGUUUCUCAAUCUUGUUCUGCAAUGUCUCUCCAAUGGUGUGUGCUUCCUUUAGAGGCAGCUCUUCUGGAAGUUCAAUGUCAACCUGUUCCAAGACGUGAAAUAUAAUGAUAAAUUUUUAUUGGCUCAUUCUUAAACAACAGAAGUAGAGAUGAUUUAUAACUGAAUUGUUGCUUAAACAUGAAUCCUUUAUUUUUGUAUUGACAAUAAUUCUUCAAGUUUAUAACUUAAAAAAUUUCGACUGGAUACAGCAGCACUCUCUCCUUUUGGUCCCAUUAUUUUUUUUUCAUCCCUCCAUACAAAACCCUUUUCCCCUUCCAUUACAAAAAAAAUAAUUCUUUCACCAUCAUUAUUAAUUAUAGUUCAUUAGCAUAUGAAAAGUAUAAUUUAUAGUUAUUUAUCAAGUAAUAUCACUUACCAAACCCUAGGAUCCUAUUUGCAUGACCUACCCCAUAUUGCUUUUUUAUUGUACAAGAAGCCUAAUGUUGGCUUAAUUAGUCCUCUGAUUAACAGCAAAUUCAAAGGCUCUGUAACAGCCUCUGACCAGAGAAUACAAAUUACUUGUUUCAACUCCAAAAACUAAAUAAAUUUACAAAAAAACCCACAAAAAUAAUAGUGAUUCUACAAGCCUGAUGUAAAUUACAAUCAUCCAUACUCCGAAAGUAGCAUUGCUUUGCAACAUAGGUGACUACGGAAACAAGUAGGAAAAAGUAGAAAUAAGGGCAAGGAUGCAUGGGAGGAGCUCCAAAAGUCAAGGAUCAUUGCCAGGCAGCUUGCUUAGAACUAUAUGUUCUGGUUUAUGGUCACAUUCGAAAUCAAGAUGAACAAAUGCUCUCUCAACCUCGGUCAAUUUCUCAAUCUUAUUUUGCAAAGUCUCACCAAUAACAUGUGCUUCCUUUAGUGGCAGUUCUUCCGGGAGUUCAAUAUCUACCUGUAUCAAGGUAGCACAAACUGUUACAUGCUUAAAGAAAAGGAUGCGCUAAAACUUGUAACGAGUUCCAUAUAGCAUAACCAACCUCUACAAAAUAAAGAACACCAAAGGUGUAGGCUCGGAUCAUCUCGAUGCGCUGGACUAGAGGAUGCCUGAUAACAAGAUAUGUCAACUUCUGCAGGAAUUCAGGAGGUGCAGAUUGUCCAACAAGUGAAACUGCAUAAAAAGGUGCAUGAAUGGUUAGAAAACUUGGUGUAUUCAAGGAGGACUAUAUUGGUGAAGAAGGUACCUGCGUUUUCCACAACAGUUCCAGACCAAUUUAUAAUUGUGUAAACUGCAAGGAGGAUGGCACCUGCAGGGUCGAUCCACCAGUAGAACUUAUUGCCAAGAACGGCUGCAAUCAAUCCUACUAUAUUCGUUACUACAUCGAAAUAGUGAUCCUGAACAUUAGCAUUUGAUUUAGUUAGAACUGGUGACAACAAGUCCAGAACUAAAAGACACCAAGCUUUUUCAGUGACAAUGUCAGGAACAAAACCUUUGCAUAGGCACGGACAAUCUCAUUUCUUGAACUUCUGCAGUAUAACCAAAGGGCAAGCUUUACUGCCGUUGCACUUAGCAUUAUUGCAUAUAACCACAAUAACUGAUUAGAAGACAUUUUCUCAGUAGGUUUGUGUUGAAUUAGUUGUUCGACGGCCUGUAUCAAAAUCUGAAACCCUGUAAGGAAAUGAAUCAGAAUGACAAACCCUGUUCUAUGAAGAAAUCAAUUUGCCAUUCACAUUAGGUUAGUUUUUCUGUUCCUAGUUCUAGCUCCUUGUUUUGCCAAGUUAUCACUCACCAUGAAAUCAAACAUGUCAAGAUGCAAAAUUUCCACGUUACAAACAAAGUUGUAUCGAAAGAAACUAAAAGGAUAUAUAGAUUUGUUACGCAAAAGGAAUAAAAAAAGAAAAAUUUGCUAGUUGCAGCUGGUUAACAUACCAAGUGUAGCCAUGAUAGCAGCAAAGAUAACUAUCCCCACUGGCUGCACCCUCAAUUUUCCAAUAGGAUACUUGUAGAUAUUUAUUUUUUUCAUUGACAAGUGAGUGAACCAAAGAAUGCCACCAGCCAUAACAUCAAGCAGAGAAUCCAGCGUCGACGCUGCUACGGCCAAAGAUCCAGUCUUUAUAGUAGCAUAUAUCUGCACACUAUGCAUAUCUCCAUCUUUAACAAUUGGAAUAAGAGAUUGAUCACACAGGCCAAAACCAAUUUUUUAACAAAAUAAAGUGCAGAAAAAGAAGAAACUAGAAGUUUUUGGAGUUUGAUUGACCUUGGAGAACCAAAUGGUGAUAAAACUACACCUUAAAUGCCAGCAAUACUAUGUUUGCAUAGUUAGAUAUCUUCAUAGCCUUUUCAUGUCGAGCUUGCUCUUCAUCAUCAUCCUCAUUGUCUUUGUCAUUUCCCAUUAGAAUAUCAACAUCCUCAAAGGAUUUCAGCGUAUCCAUUUGCUUUUCAUAAUAUUCCUUUUCCCCUGUAAAAAGAUUGAAACAACAAAACAUUCAAAAACUUGUGCAAAGAGUCAACAAGUUCUGUCCUUGGAUUGAAGAACUAGUGAGUAUGCAACCUUGAAUAAUUAUCACAUACCAAGGACCGAUUACCUUCUGUUAAGCCUGUUGUUUUGGAUAAAUUGAUCUGAUAAGGGGACUCAGUAUCCAGGCCAGAUCUUACCUUAUCAGGCAAUUUUGCCACAAAAUUAGACCUCAGCGAGUUCACUGAAUUCCUUCCACUCAGUCUCCUGCUUCUUCUUCCUUCACCCAUUAACAAUGGUGUUUUCGGGCCAGAACCUGAAUUCCCCUCCAUCUGGUUCCAAACAAUUGAUUCCAGUUCCAGCAGAAAUAUCUAUAAAUAUAGGUAUAUCUUUUGCUGAUAUUUUUGUACAAAGAGGCGGCAUGAAGAUGCUCGCCUUGAUGCUUAAAAACUAGGAUAUGAUGCAGCUAUUAGUAGCUGUUGACUUUUUU
rnacentral:lncRNA from 1 species